GACGAACAGUGCGAACGUUAUUCGGAAUCACUGGGCUUAAAGCGCGUGUAGGCGGGCCGCCGCGUCGGCUGGUGAAAUCCCCCGGCUCAACCGGGGAACGGGCACCGAUACGGGCGGCCUCGAGGGGGGUAGGGGGACCUGGAACUUCCGGUGGGGCGGUGAAAUGCGUUGAGAUCGGAAGGAACGCCCGUGGCGAAAGCGAGGUCCUGGACCCUUUCUGACGCUGAGACGCGAAAGCCAGGGGAGCGAACGGG
rnacentral:rRNA from 1 species